UAGGGAAUCUUCGGCAAUGGACGGAAGUCUGACCGAGCAACGCCGCGUGAGUGAAGAAGGUUUUCGGAUCGUAAAGCUCUGUUGUAAGAGAAGAACGAGUGUGAGAGUGGAAAGUUCACACUGUGACGGUAUCUUACCAGAAAGGGACGGCUAACUACGUGCCAGCAGCCGCGGUAAUACGUAGGUCCCGAGCGUUGUCCGGAUUUAUUGGGCGUAAAGCGAGCGCAGGCGGUUAGAUAAGUCUGAAGUUAAAGGCAGUGGCUUAACCAUAGUACGCUUUGGAAACUGUUUAACUUGAGUGCAAGAGGGGAGAGUGGAACUCCAUGUGUAGCGGUGAAAUGCGUAGAUAUAUGGAGGAACACCGGUGGCGAAAGCGGCUCUCUGGCUUGUAACUGACGCUGAGGCUCGAAAGCGUGGGGAGCAAACAGGAUUAGAUACCCUGGUAGUCCACGCCGUAAACGAUGAGUGCUAGGUGUUAGACCCUUUCCGGGGUUUAGUGCCGCAGCUAACGCAUUAAGCACUCCGCCUGGGGAGUACGACCGCNGGUU
rnacentral:rRNA from 1 species